GUGAAGGGUUUACCAGGCCAGGAGCCGUGAAUACUUCCAGCAGCUGCCAAGAAAAAAGGGAUCUUAGCGGAGACCUUGAGCCCUGGAGGCCCCACCCUGGCAGGAGAAAGAAACUAGGCCAGCAAGGAGACCUAGAGAUGGGACUGAACCUGUUUGUGUGUGGUCUGCCACUGAGCCUCACUCCCAGUCUCCACGCUGCAGAGGAGAAACGGACAUCGCCAAUGUGUCCGAGGUCACACAGCUCCUAGCACAUCCUAGCAGUCAGCGAAACCUGCACCAUCUGGAUAGCAGCUCUUGCCUGUGCGUGUUCCACCGAGUGGAUGGACAGCAUGACCGAUUCUAUCUCAACACAAAACACGCUGUGAUGAACGGAUUGCACCCUCCCUGUUCCACUCCUGUGUGACAACAUUGGCAGGAUCAAAACCUAGGAGGAUGUCAGGGUACAAUUAAAUUUUCCACUUUUACUAAUUCCAAGUUGAAUUAAAGAAUAGAAAUUAUGGGGCUGGAGAGAUGGCUCAGAGGUUAAGAGCACUGACUGCUCUUCCAGAGGUCCUGAGUUCAAUUCCCAGCAACCUCAUGGUGGCUCACAACCAUCCAUUAUGAGAUCUGGUGCCCUCUUCUGGUGUGCAGAUAUACAUGGAAGCAGAAA
rnacentral:lncRNA from 1 species